CCUUUUCACUCAUCUAGGUUAGUUUUGUGGAGUAACUACAAUGUUGUUGAUCCAUCCUCAGUUUUCUCCUAUCACAGCCAUUAAACUCUGUAACAGUUUUAAAAUCACCAUUGGCCUUAUGGUAAAUCCCUGAGCGGUUUCCUUCCUCUUCGGCAAAUGAGUUUGGAAGGACGCCUGUAUCUUUGUAGCGACUGGAUGUAUUGAUAGACCAUCCAAAGUGUAAUGAAUAAUUUCACCAUGCACAAAGCGAUAUUCAAUGUCUGCUUUAAAAAAAAAAUGUUUUACCCAUCUACAAAUAGGUGUCCUUUGCGAGGGACUGGUAAACCUCCCUGGUCUUUGUGAUUGAAUCUGUGUUUGAAAUUCACUGCUCAACUGAUGGCCUUAGAAAUAAUUGUAUGUGUGGGGUACAGAGAUAAGGUCGUCAUAAAAAAAAACGAAUACUUAUUGACUCAAGACAUUUCAGCUUCAUUUCUUUUAUUAAUUAGUAAACAUUUGAAAAAACAUAAUUCCACUUUGACAUUAUGGGCUAUUGUCUGUAGGCCAGUGAAAACAAAUCUAAAUGUAAUCCUUUUAAAUUCUGGCUGUAACACAACAAAAUUUGAAAUAUGUCAAAUGGUGUGAAUAGUUUCUAAAGGCACUGAAUGUGUGUGUGAGGCAGGUUGGUGAGCCAGCUCUUUCAUUGACCACAGAAAUACCCAGGUCAGCUCUACGUUACUCUACAUUUCAGUUCCUCGUGGCAGAGAGAGACAAGGAGUGAUAUAAAGUUUGGAAUAGAGAGAAAGCAUGUGAAUCCCCUAAACAGUUCAAGAGAGACCAACAGCACCGCAAGAGUUUCGAGGAUAGAAAACCCAUGAAUGUUUCUCUCAUUGAGACAAUCACACACAUUAUUCAUUACACAACAGCCUUUAUUAAUCAUAUUCAAUAAUAGAUUAAAAAACAUAUUUUGACUGUUAUUAUGUUUACUAAGCACACACACUAACACAAACACUUUCACCUGUACCCUAUUUGAAUAGCUGGAGCGCACCCUGCUUAAAUCUCUGCAGUCUUUUCAAACCUGCAAUGGUGAGUCAUAAAGGAAAGAGGGGAGAAAAGCAGUGUUCAAUGUGGAAUCAGGCCUAUAGUAUUCUGAAUAAUAUCAGAGAUGAAGAGGCAAAGCGAGAGGAUUUACUCUGCCCAAAAUAUGGUCGUGUGAUAAGUGGGGAUUUUUUUGUAUGGAGGUCUAUGAGACAGAUAUGAAUUACGUGAGGUUUAUUUAAUCUGAUACAAGUUUCGUAAUGUUUAGGCUGUUACAAAUGUACUGAUAUAAGUGGAUUCACGUGGAAUUCCUGCACGACUUAGUUCAGGUUGGAAUGGUCCCACCUGAUCUUGCCUCCCGCCUGCAUUCCAUCUUUGAGGACAUGUAUUUCCAAUGUUAGAGCAGUCACUUGACUAUCUUGUCUAUAUAAUAGAUUGUCUUUGAUAAUACAGUAUUUAAUGCAGUAGUUAUAUGGCACUUCCUACACAAUGUGUGAUCUGCAAGGCUAGCCUGCCCUCUUCUGGUGAAUUGAAGGGAAAGGCAAUGCAUUCAACAUUGCCUUUAACAAUGUAAACCAUGGCGACAGGACACCCUCUAACCUAAAUAAAGUCAAAGCUUAUACACCACAAAAGUAUGUGGACACCCCUUGAAAUUAGUGCAUUCGGCUAUUUCAGCCACACCCGUUGCUGACAGGUGUUUAAAAUUGAGCACACAGCCAUGCAAUCUCAAUAGGAAAACAUUGACAGUAGAAUGGCCUGUACUGAAGAGCUCAGUGGCAUUCAAAGUGGUACCGUCAUAGGAUGCCACCUUUCCAACAUGUCAGUUAGUCAAAUUUUUGCCCUGCUAGAGCUGCCCCGGUCAACUGUAAGUGCUGUUAUUGUGAAGUGGAAAAGUCUAGGAGCAACAAUGGCUCAACUGCUAAGUGGUAGGCUACACAAUCUCACUGAACGGGACCUCCGAGUGCUGAAGCGUGUAAAAAUCAUCUGUAUUCGGUUGCAACACUCACUACCGAGUUCCAAACUGCCUCUGGAGGCAACGUCAGAAUAAUAACUGUUUGUCGGGAGCUUCAUGAAAUGGGUUUCCAUGACCAAGCAGCUGCACACAAGCCUAAGCUCACCAUGCGCAAUGCCAAGCGUCGGGCUGGAGUGGUGUAAAACCCGCCGCCAUUGGACUCUGGAGCAGUGGAAAUGCGUUCUCUGGAGUGAUGAAUCACGCUUCACCAUCUGGCAGUCUGACGGACGAAUCUGGGUUUGGCGGAUGCCAGAAGAACGCUACCUGCCAGAAUGCAUAGUGCCAACUGUAAAGUUUGGUGGAGGAGGAAUAAUGGUAUGGGGCUGUUUUUCAUGGUUCGGGCUAUUCCCCUUAGCUCCAGUGAAGGGAAAUGUUAACGCUACAGCAUACAAUGACAUUCUAGACGAUUCUGUGCUUCUAACUUUGUGGCAAUAGUUUGGGGAAGGUUCUUCCCUGUUUUAGCAUGACAAUUCCCCCGUGCACAAAGUGAGGUCCAUACAGAAAUGGUUUGUCAAGAUAGGUGUGGAAGAACUUGACUUGCCUGCACAGAGCCUUGACCUUAACCCCAUAUGAUCGCCAAACAUCAGUGCCUGACCUUACUAAUGCUUGCGCCUGAAUGGAAGCAAGUCCCCGCAGCAAUGUUCCAACAUCUAGUGGUUAGCCUUCCCAGAAGAGUGGAGGCUGUUAUAGCAGCAAAGGGGGAACCAACUCCAUAUUAAUGCCCAUGAUUUUGGAAUGAGAUGUUCGACGAGCAGGUGUCCACAUACUGUUUGUGUAUUUCUGCCUCUGAUGUCUGUAUUGAAGAGAGAGAGAGAGGGUAAGACUAGGGAAAACAGAGAGUUAAAUCCAAAAGAACAUUGGGGUUAAGGAGUAAUAACAGUAGAACAAGGGCACUAAAGCUAACCCAUCCCAUGGAGGAAGGGUGGGAGACAUGGAGAGGGCUGUGUGUGUCUCUGUGGGGUCAUCUGAAGGUAUUUAUAGCUACUUCCUCUUGCGCUCCCUGUUGCCAUGACGUCAUUCAUGUAAGUCUGUGUGUGUGUGUGUGUGUUUCCUGUAGCGUGUCUGUUUAACAUUUGAGUCAUUGAGCACUCUCUUAUCCAGAGCAACUUUCAGGAGCAAUUUGAGUUAAGUGCCUUGCUCAAGGGCAUAUUUUCAGAUUUUUCACAGUCGGUUCAGGGAUUCAAACUAGCAGCCUUUAGGUUACUGGUCCAACGCUCUGAACCACUAGGUUACCUGCCUACAAUUUACAAUUUAGUCAUUUAGCAGACGCUCUUAUACAGAGCAACUUACAGUAGUGAAUGCAUACAUUUCAUGCAUUUUUUUUUUGUUGUACUGGCCCCCCGUGGGAAUCGAACCCACAACCCUGGCGUUGCACACACCAUGCUCUACCAACUGAGCCACAGGGAAGACAUGCCUAGACACAUCAGUUGUGAGAUGGGUGGUCCUGUCCCACCAGCGCCGACAUCAGCCGGUCACAGCCAAUCAGAUGGCGACCCCUCCCCGUUUCAUGCUUCGGCUCGGCCGGCAUUCCAAAAGCACGGCACUAUAUUCCGGGAGCGUUCCCGAGUCAGGCAGCGCAAACAUCCCACUCCCGGCUGAAAGAGGGCACCGCUGAGAGUGUAGGAUGUUUACACUGACUGAAGCCCGGAGAGGUCAUAGGUCGGAAGUUAGAACUCACUCUUACCCACAGAUCAAGGAUAAGAUUACCCUAAUCAUAAACUUUACAGGACUGCAUACCAAUACACCUUAACAGCGUACUUUCCUUGUCCCCUUUCCUUCAAGUACACUGUUUGGUAAAAGGACUUGACAAGUUUCCACCGUGUUGCUUGCCAGUGGUCAGAAAGGGAAGUAGAUAAAGGUAGUAUCCUAGACAAGGAAAGGAAUUUCAAACUAUUGAGAUGCAGCCCAUGAUGAGGAAAACAAGAUGGCAGACGACUCCCACGGAAUAGCAUUAUCUGACAUUUGAGAUCCCUGGGCCCCUGUUCAGCUUUCCCUCAUCCCUCCGCCUCUCUUCUCUCCUGAGGAUGUAAAGUCUCCCUGCCACUGUUAAUCAACUGGCCUGAACAGAGCCUGACAGUCAUUUCCUAUCCUCCCUCUCCCUUUCUCCCACUCUCUUAUUCUGAACUCCUUUGGGCACAGUCAUCAGAGAUGGUGCUAACAGACACACAGCAUAAGGAAAAGUAGCAGUGUGUGUGUGUGUCCAGUUUGUUCACUUUUCAGUGGUCAUGAGGGAAAGGAGACACAGUAAGGAAACCAUCUAACUGAACUAAGAGAAUUGAGACUCAUCCAUAUUUGUAAUCACUGUGGGUUUGCUCCCCUGGGAUGGCCUGUCAAACUGAGAGCUGUCCAGAGUGCUGAAACAGGGUGUGCGCCCCUAAACAUAUUUGGAUUUAAUUGAUCAAUUCAUGUCACAGAAUGCCUAGAGUCCACACUACAGGUCUAAGACGCUAAAUAAAAGGGAGGCGUGACAAUCAGUAGGAAUGUGGCCCUUGCAGGAGUAUGACUUAUUGCUCUAGCUAGCGUACGCCUCUGUUUGGCUCUAUGUGCGCGCUAGAGUAAACCUCUUUGUUUUUAUGGCAGACACAGUUGACUCUGUAAGCCUAAUAGUGAUGGCUAUAACAGUUGUCGCUAUGUAAAAAUAUCUGUAUAGUAGUUGCGAUGAUAAUAGCAGUUGGCAGCUGCAAACAUCCGACUGAAAGCCCUAUAUGAAACACCAGCUUUCAGUCAAGGAUGUUUACAGUAGCCCAUACUGCCAGUUGUCAGUUGUCCUGGAGAGUGUAUAUGCACACUGCUAAAACCACACACCAGGCAUUAGUUGAACUAUUCUUUAGUAACAUACAGCAUAGCCAUAUGUAUAGCUCCAGUUCAGUUUGGCUAACUAUCGCCAUGUUAGCACCAAAGGUCCCACAACAUGCUAACUACAUUGUUAUUGUAUUGGAACAGUUGGUGUUGACAUGGCGCCUUUCAAAAAUCCCAUAUCUCCAACAAACUUGGCUCUAUAGCUACAGCUCUGGAGUCCAGUAUAGGGUCACUGGUCUCCAGUAUGUUUUCUCUGCCUUUCCUUUGUUGUCCUGUAAGCAUGUGACAUUCCACGACGGCAGCCCCCCCACACAAUGUACUGGCGUCAUAUUUCCCAUGUAAACACCACACAGGGCUUCUGUUUAGCCAUCACACACACUCCCACAGGCACACAAACACACACACAGAUACAUAUAGGCUUACACACACACACAGGCUUACACACACACACACACACACACACACACACACACACACACACACACACACACACACACACACACACACACACACACACACACACACACACACACACACACACACACACAGUGAAAUAAACUGAUUGCCCCUUCACACAAAAAGCAGUGUGUCUGCACUGUAGAACUCUCUCCCAGUGGCCUUUCCACCCCUGAUCCCUCAACCAAAACUCUGACUUCCUGCCUCCCCCUGUCUCCUCCUCCUCCUCCCACCAUGCAAUCAAAGUGGCCAUUUCUGUGUUUACCAUACACACUCUCCCACACCCGCCCUAACUCUGCUGUGUGACACUGCUUUUUCCGAGAAACUCUGAGACGCCCCAGGGUGGCAGUCAGAUGACCUUGGGACAGGGCUCUGCCGGGACUUUAUCGAAACGCUGGUAUUCCGAGCACGAUCGUGAACGCUAACAGGACAGUGAAAGAAGAAUGUCUAACUCACACUCCCGGCCCAGUAUAAACUCCAUACCCUGGCCUGUUCUGAGAGACAGGAAGUGCUCCUAUCAUCUCCAUGGGAAAGAGUGGAGCCGGAGACCCCUCCUCAAACAGAAGGCGGGUUUAGAUCAACACACAAAACAGGUUCUCACACACAAAGAGCUUCCCUUUACAAUACCUUACAGAAAACCACUAACCCUUACAGUUUAACUAUCACUCUUUAGAGGUGAAAAUCAUGUCAUGCUUUUCAGAUGGGUGUUAUAUAGACACAUUUGGAGGUAGAAGUAAAAUAAAGAGUACCUGAGCCAUAUCUAUAACUUGGGGGUAUAAUAAACAAUAUAUAAAAAGUCAGUUAUAAGCCUAACUAGCACACUAGGCUAUUUAUCCCUGAAUAAAUUGUGCAAUUUUUUGUUUUCAACAAUCAAUUCUUAUUUAUAAAUGUUUCUAAGCAUGAUUUCCUUUGUUUCUAAAGAUUCAAUAAUAGUCUUGUCUGCACCAUGAAAUAGAAGCGCUUUCUUCCCGCCAUGAAUGGCUGGCUAUUCUCCGAGCCUUACAGCGCCAUUGAACUGCUUGGGGAUGCAAUUGACACAUCCCAGUGGAACUGCCGAGAUGCGCCAUGAAUAUUUUUUUCUCCCUGAGGAAACAGAGGAGGUGGAAUAGGUGAGUGAGGUUUAGGCUCUUCCAAAAGCUAUCAUUGUUUUCUUUGGACAUACUCUAGGCUACUUACCGCUUCACCUCAUCAACGAAAAUGUAAAAAGUUGACUGCGUUAGGCAAGUUAUGCCGGUCCGGGACGAAUAAACUCUCCGCUUUCACGGUACAGGCAGCCCGAUAUGUCUUGAUAGAUAGUAGGUUGUACCGUAGAGUUUGCAAGAAUGGACAACCGCCGGUAUCAUGCUGCGUUAAAAUCAGUCUCCGUAGUGUCUCUGACAAUGCCAACCUGGACACAACAUUCCCAGUCGAGGCAGUUCAGUUGUCUUCAGAUAAAGUUCACAAUAACACCAGAAAAUUAUCCAGAAAAACACACUUAUCUGGCUGUAAAGUGUGGAUGUACAGAACUGCAAAAUGUUAAAAUCUUCUGAGGGGACAGUUGCCGGGAAAAAGCGUCCUUGUCCUCCGUCUUUUUCGAGCUGUCACCCUUUCUUCCGUCCUGUCAGUCUGGAGUUUUUCUAUUAAGAUUCUUGGACUCGAGUCCCUCCCCUUUCUGGCAGAGCUGACCAAUGGCAGACCGGACUGUGCGCAUCAAAGGGGAAAUAAUAGCCUGUUCACUAACGUAACCUUGCGGGCGUCCUUCCGUUGCCAUCCAUGACCUCCAACUGUCCGUCGGUGUUCCAAGGCUCCGGAAUAGCACCUCCAUCCGUUAUCUUUUACGCAGGCAACAUUGAAUUAGUGAUGUUCCAAGCUAGCCCUCCUGAUGUCGUAUGUUCUGGAAAUGAAAGGUUGUGGUGUUCCACAUACGCCAUCCCAACUAGCCACCCAUGGAGUUCGACUUCUGACUGUGUGAACGAGCAAGCUAAUAACACAGACGCAAUGGCUACCUAGUCAAGCUACACUGGUCAUUCCCUUUGACAGGUUUGUUAGCUUGCUAGCCUAGCACGAUGGAAGCAAAAGAGAAUAGAAUGUAAU
rnacentral:tRNA from 1 species